GAUGAACGCUAGCGGCAGGCCUAAUACAUGCAAGUCGAACGAUAGAAGAGGGCUUGCUCUCUUCGAAAGUGGCGCACGGGUGCGUAACGCGUAUGCAACCUACCUUAAUCAGGGGGAUAGCCCGAAGAAAUUCGGAUUAACACCGCAUAAAAUCACAGUACAGCAUUGUACAAUGAUCAAAUAUUUAUAGGAUUAAGAUGGGCAUGCGUGACAUUAGCUAGUUGGCGGGGUAACGGCCCACCAAGGCGACGAUGGCUAGGGGAUCUGAGAGGAUGCCCCCCCACGCUGGUACUGAGACAUGGACCAGACUCCUACGAGAGGCAGCAGUAAGGAAUAUUGGUCAAUGGAGGCAACUCUGAACCAGCCAUGCCGCGUGCAGGAAGACGGCCCUCUGGGUUGUAAACUGCUUUUAUUCGGGAAUAAACCUCAUUACGUGUAAUGAGCUGAAUGUACCGAAGGAAUAAGGAUCGGCUAACUCCGUGCCAGCCGCCGCAGUAA
rnacentral:rRNA from 1 species